AAUUUUUGGUAACGCCUCUUAAGUUGUAUGAUUGCGAUUGACCUUCUUCCACAUUAAAAAUAUCGGCAAACUUUGUUGUCCACCUGAACCGGUAAAAUGUCAUAUGACGUGGGUUAAAACAUAAUUAUUCGUUUAUGCAGAAACAGUGGUAUAAUUCGUAUUGUUUGUAAUUAUUGGUGUACAACCGACAAAUGGACAAAAUAGUCGAAUUGUUUUGGAAUUGGAUUUCAGUUACACAGUCAGAAAAUAUAUACACACAACACGCCAGUCAAUAAUUCAUUCUUAGUCAAAUUCUAUUUAAAAAAAAAAGAACGAAAGAACUCAACACGACUUAUUGGGAUAAAAAUAAAAGGAAAGAGAUAAGACAAAAAUGAAACGAAAAAAAAUAUUCUUUUUUUUCGAAGAUCGCUUGAUGUUUUUAAAAUGUGUUUUAUAUCAAUACCUAUUAAAUGUAUCCAAUUCAAAUAAAUCAUAAAAAUAGAAAUUUGAAUAA